rnacentral:rRNA from 1 species
GACGAACGCUGGCGGCGUGCUUAACACAUGCAAGUCGAACGAUGAAGCGGUGCUUGCACCGUGGAUUAGUGGCGAACGGGUGAGUAAUACGUGAGUGACCUACCUUUGACUCUGGGAUAAGCCUGGUAAACUGGGUCUAAUACCGGAUACGACCAAUCUCUGCAUGGGGUGUUGGUGGAAAGCGUUAUGGAGUGGUUUUAGAUGGGCUCACGGCCUAUCAGCUUGUUGGUGAGGUAAUGGCUUACCAAGGCGACGACGGGUAGCCGGCCUGAGAGGGUGACCGGCCACACUGGGACUGAGACACGGCCCAGACUCCUACGGGAGGCAGCAGUGGGGAAUAUUGCACAAUGGGCGCAAGCCUGAUGCAGCGACGCCGCGUGAGGGAUGACGGCCUUCGGGUUGUAAACCUCUGUUAGCAUCGAAGAAGCGAAAGUGACGGUAGGUGCAGAGAAAGCGCCGGCUAACUACGUG